rnacentral:lncRNA from 1 species
GCGGUGGAGGAUUCGGUUUUCCUGGCGGCGGAGGCGGAUAUCCGGGUGGUGGAGGUGGUUAUCCGGGCGGUGGUGGUGGAUAUCCGGGCGGGGGUGGGGGGUUUCCGGGGGGGGAAGGGGCAGUGAAGGAGGUGGGGGAGGAUUUUUCCAUGUGAAUUAUAUGAAGAAGAGACCUACACCUUCAGUGGUUUAUCAGCAGAGACCAGGGGCUUCGGAGGCUGUUCAAUUCGGUGAAUCAUCUUCUUCUUCUUCCGCUUAUUAUUACAAUCAGCCUAGUAAUAGCAAUAAUCCUUAUCCUGUUGAUAAUUCAAGCUCUUAUUCCUACUUCGGCUACGGUGGGGGGGGGGGGGGGGGGGGGGGGGGGGGCCCGCAGACACCACGGGUGGUGGUGGAGGUGGAGGGUAUGGUCCUCCGCCUACAUACGGCGGAUCUUCAUCUAUGCCACCACCACCGCAGGCGGCUGCUUCAUCGUCGAAGCCACCGCCAGCUCCGCCGUCGCCUCCCAGAGCUUCCGCUUGGGAUUUCUUGAAUCCGUUUGAGAGCUACGACAGCUUCUAUCCGUCGAAUCCUUCGAAUCCUCCGAGCAGGGACUCGAGGGAUGUUAGGGAAGAGGAAGGGAUUCCUGAUUUGGAGGAUGAGGAUUUACAACACGAGGUUGUCAAGGAAGUACAUGGUGAUCCUAAGUACGUUGAAGAUAGUGAUCAUGACCGCGGUUAUUCGAAAUCGGUAAUGAUGGAUGAUGAAGAGGAGGAGGUCAAAGGUGGUAAAGUUGGUGAAGCUGAGGCAUCUCUUUAUCAGACUAGGCCUAGCGUGUCGAUGGAAACUGAUAGACCUGAGUAUGAGGUUCAUGUUGUGGAAAAGAAAGUUGUUGAUAAGGAGAAAUCCUCUGAUGAUCGUGGCAAUGGCGGUGGCGGAGGGUUCAAGGGACGAGCAGGGUGGAGAGAUGUACGUCAAGUUGCUGUCGAAAUCAAGAUUCAGUUUGAGAGGGCUUCUGAUUACGGUAAUGAAAUCGCUAAGAUGCUGGAAGUUGGGAAGCUCCCUUAUCAGCGAAAACACGGUAGGCAUUGUCGAAUUGAUCACAUCCUUAUAGCUUAUGGAGUUGUGGACUGAAAGUUUGUUCCUUUUGAAUCAAUGCUUUAUGUUGAGCGAUUUGACUUACAGUCUUCUAGUGAAAUCAAUGCUUUAUGUUGAGCGAUUUGACUUACAGUCUUCUGGUAACUUUGUUGGCAGUUUCAAAGAAGUUGCACAGUGUUGCUACACCAUUGUCGUUAAUGUCCACACCACCAUCCGCUUCUAAUAGUUUGGAGGCUUCUUCCUCCAAUGACGGUGCUGGUCCAGCUUACUUGGAGAUGGAAGAAGAAUUGGCUGUGAGAUCGAAGAAUCUUUCUUCUACCUUGCAAAAACUUCAUCUUUGGGAGAAGAAGCUCUACACUGAAGUGAAGGUACGUUACAUUGUCUAUAUGCUGAUACAGCUAAAUACAUGUGUCCUGCAAAGUUGCUCUCUUUAUGCUGAUAGAGCUCAUAAUUCCUCUUGCCAGGCUGAGGAGAAAAUGAGGGUAAUCCACGACAGGAAGUGCCGAAAGCUGAAACGUUUAGAUGAGAGGGGUGCUGAAGCUCACAAAAUUGACGAUACUCGAAAAUUGAUAAGGGAUCUGUCAACCAAAAUAAGAAUUGCAAUUCAGGUUGUCGACAAGAUCUCCGUCACAAUAAACAAAAUCAGAGAUGACGAGCUAUGGCCGCAGCUGAAUGAUCUGAUUCUAGGGUAUGCUUGCUUUCUCACUGCCACUGGCUCUCUCUCUCUCUUUUAUGUUUUUGACCCAACGCUGAGCAUGUUUACCUACGUGAUAUAUAACUUCAUUGCUAUCUGCAGGUUGAGUAGAAUGUGGAAAAAUAUGCUCGAAUGCCAUGGAAUUCAGUGCCAAGCGAUAAAGGAAGCAAAAGGGUUAGGUCCAAUGGGGUCGGGGAAGAAGCUGAGUGAUGAUCAUCUCCAAGCUACACUGCAGCUUGAGCAACAACUGCUUAAUUGGACUUCCAGUUUCUCUAGUUGGGUUGGAGCUCAGAAGGGUUACGUGAAAGCCUUGAAUAAUUGGCUGGUGAAAUGUCUCCUCUACGAACCCGAAGACACUCCCGACGGAGUGCCUCCCUUUUCGC